AGGACAAGCAAGCAAGAUUGGAUAUUCUUUGAGCCACGAAAAUAUCUGCAGGGGACAAAGAGCAAGUGUGCUGAGACAUUAAAUACUGCUGCACUGAGACGUCUAAGGACCUAUUCAGAGCUAAAGGAAGAGGACAUACAUGAGAUCAUAAAAAAAUUAUGUUCCAGCUCUUCACAUGAAGUUGCAGCCCACCUGUUGUCGUCACCCUUGCGAGGAAGUAUUAUUGUG